AUGAACGCUAGCUACAGGCUUAACACAUGCAAGUCGAGGGGCAGCAUGAACUUAGCUUGCUAAGUUUGAUGGCGACCGGCGCACGGGUGAGUAACACGUAUCCAACCUGCCGAUGACUCGGGGAUAGCCUUUCGAAAGAAAGAUUAAUACCCGAUGGCAUAGUUCUUCCGCAUGGUAGAACUAUUAAAGAAUUUCGGUCAUCGAUGGGGAUGCGUUCCAUUAGGUUGUUGGCGGGGUAACGGCCCACCAAGCCUUCGAUGGAUAGGGGUUCUGAGAGGAAGGUCCCCCACAUUGGAACUGAGACACGGUCCAAACUCCUACGGGAGGCAGCAGUGAGGAAUAUUGGUCAAUGGACGAGAGUCUGAACCAGCCAAGUAGCGUGAAGGAUGACUGCCCUAUGGGUUGUAAACUUCUUUUAUACGGGAAUAAAGUGAGGCACGUGUGCCUUUUUGUAUGUACCGUAUGAAUAAGGAUCGGCUAACUCCGUGCCAGCAGCCGCGGUAAUACGGAGGAUCCGAGCGUUAUCCGGAUUUAUUGGGUUUAAAGGGAGCGUAGGCGGACGCUUAAGUCAGUUGUGAAAGUUUGCGGCUCAACCGUAAAAUUGCAGUUGAUACUGGGUGUCUUGAGUACAGUAGAGGCAGGCGGAAUUCGUGGUGUAGCGGUGAAAUGCUUAGAUAUCACGAAGAACUCCGAUUGCGAAGGCAGCCUGCUGGACUGUAACUGACGCUGAUGCUCGAAAGUGUGGGUAUCAAACAGGAUUAGAUACCCUGGUAGUCCACGCUGUAAACGAUGAUUACUAGGUGUGGGGGGUCUGACCCCUUCCGUGCCGGAGUUAACACAAUAAGUAAUCCACCUGGGGAGUACGACCGCAAGGUUGAAACUCAAAGGAAUUGACGGGGGCCCGCACAAGCGGAGGAACAUGUGGUUUAAUUCGAUGAUACGCGAGGAACCUUACCCGGGCUUGAAUUGCAACUGAAUGAUGUGGAGACAUGUCAGCCGCAAGGCAGUUGUGAAGGUGCUGCAUGGUUGUCGUCAGCUCGUGCCGUGAGGUGUCGGCUUAAGUGCCAUAACGAGCGCAACCCUUAUCGAUAGUUACCAUCAGGUUAUGCUGGGGACUCUGUCGAGACUGCCGUCGUAAGAUGUGAGGAAGGUGGGGAUGACGUCAAAUCAGCACGGCCCUUACGUCCGGGGCUACACACGUGUUACAAUGGGGGGUACAGAAGGCAGCUACACGGCGACGUGAUGCUAAUCCCUAAAGCCUCUCUCAGUUCGGAUUGGAGUCUGCAACCCGACUCCAUGAAGCUGGAUUCGCUAGUAAUCGCGCAUCAGCCACGGCGCGGUGAAUACGUUCCCGGGCCUUGUACACACCGCCCGUCAAGCCAUGAAAGCCGGGGGUACCUGAAGUGCGUAACCGCGAGGAGCGCCCUAGGGUAAAACUGGUGAUUGGGGCU
rnacentral:rRNA from 1 species